rnacentral:rRNA from 1 species
AGAGUUUGAUCAUGGCUCAGGACGAACGCUGGCGGCGUGCUUAAUACAUGCAAGUCGAGCGGACCUUUGCCGUUUGUUGCCGGUUUCCGGCGACAAAUGGCAAAGGUUAGCGGCGAACGGGUGAGUAACGCGUGGGUAAUCUGCCCCCAAGACCGGGAUAACAGAGCGAAAGCGCUGCUAAUACCGGAUGACCUCUCUUUAUCGCAUGGUGAAGGGAGCAAAGCUACGGCGCUUGGGGAUGAGCCCGCGUUCCAUUAGCUAGUUGGUGAGGUAACAGCUCACCAAGGCGACGAUGGAUAGCCGGCCUGAGAGGGUGACCGGCCACACUGGGACUGAGACACGGCCCAGACUCCUACGGGAGGCAGCAGUAGGGAAUUUUCGGCAAUGGGGGAGACCCUGACCGAGCAACGCCGCGUGAGGGAUGAAGGCCUUCGGGUCGUAAACCUCUGUCUUUGGGGACGAUAAUGACGGUACCCGAGGAGGAAGCCCCGGCUAACUACGUGCCAGCAGCCGCGGUAAU